GGGCCCACACAAGCGGUGGAGCAUGUGGUUUAAUUCGAUGAUACGCGAGGAACCUUACCAAGGCUUAAAUGUAGGAGGACAGGCUGUGAAAACAGCCCUUCUUCGGACCUCCUACAAGGGUGCUGCAUGGUUGUCGUCAGCUCGUGCCGUGAGGUGUCGGGUUAAGUCCCAUAACGAGCGCAACCCCUAUCUUUAGUUGCCAGCGGUUCGGCCGGGGACUCUAAAGAAACUGCCCGCGCAAGCGGUGAGGAAGGUGGGGAUGACGUCAAAUCAUCACGGCCCUUACGUCUUGGGCUACACACGUGCUACAAUGGUAGUGACAAUGGGCAGCCACCCCGCGAGGGG
rnacentral:rRNA from 1 species